rnacentral:rRNA from 1 species
UACGGAGGGUGCAAGCGUUAAUCGGAAUUACUGGGCGUAAAGCGUGCGUAGGCGGUUCGUUAAGUCUGCUGUGAAAGCCCCGGGCUCAACCUGGGAAUGGCAGUGGAUACUGGCGAGCUAGAGUGUGAUAGAGGAUGGUGGAAUUCCCGGUGUAGCGGUGAAAUGCGUAGAGAUCGGGAGGAACAUCAGUGGCGAAGGCGGCCAUCUGGAUCAACACUGACGCUGAGGCACGAAAGCGUGGGGAGGCAAACAGG